UCCCGGAGGCUGAGCAGAACAAAAAAUGAAUCAAGAAAAGCAAGCGUAACGAGUGAAGAAAAUACUCCAGUUGAAAAGGACAAGAAAAAGUCUUUCUUUUGGCUUUUUCCCACUUUAUGCUUCAGAAACCCCAACACAGAUACCCUGGUUUCUGCCUAUGGAGCACCGGCACAGCAAAGGAAAACUGUCACCUUCUGCCGCAGCACAGAAGAUGCACGAAGGACCAGCAGCAAAGGGGUUAAAGGGAGUCCCAUAGCAAAGAUAUGCAAUGCCUUGAAAUUUUAAGCACUAAAAUCUAUUAAUACAUAAAAGAAUAAAUCUCUGCAAUUCCAGAUAUUUCUGGUUGACACAAACCACUUGGAGCCAGUUAUUAAAGGGUAUUUUUUAUUGUGAGUGCUGAAAUUGGUGAUGCCUGGGUUCUCUAUUCAUUUGUGCCCUAUCUUUCUGCACACUGUGCUCCCGCUUCAGCAAGCCCAACCAUCCCUCCAGACCUUUCACACACUCGUCCCUCACCGCCAUUCCUCUUUCCUCUACCCUCUUCUCCCCUUAUUUCCUUUUCAUUUCACCACCUGCAAAGGCAUCGCGGCCAGGCUGGCCAGGAGGGAGCACAGCAGCUCAGACCACAUCUCUCACCUCAAUCAAGCUAUCAAGUUUCAUGAUACUCAGACUGUUGCUCCACCAAUUUCAGCUAAAAUCAGUCAGUUGGUUCAAAAAGUAUUCAGGGCAAGUGGACAAAAGAGAUUGACAUACUCUGCAAUCACAUUUCUAAGGCAGCCUGGCUAAUUGGAAGCUGAUAAUACUUUUUCUUUUUAAUAAUAUUUUUAAGCUCCAUUGAUACAGUUUCCAGGCAUAUUUCUUACCUUCCUGAAAGUGUAAGUGUAGUGAUAAGAUAUACCUUUUGUUCCACCCUAUCUUUGUAAACAUACUUCUGUCUGCAAAAUACAUGGCUGCAGGGGUUCCACUGGUUUCAACCAGUGCCACACAGCUGGCAUCUGGGUGUUUGUGACUUGCCAACUUAUUAUAUUUCACAGAUUGGUUUCAGGUGGCUUAAAAAAAAAAAAUAAAAAAAAGGUCCGAAUUUUGCUUUUCCCUGAAUACCACAGGUGUAGCUGACCAUAAUUUUCACUGCUUGAUAGCUGCUGGAAGAAAAUGUGUCUGAGUGACUUGGGCACUUUACCAGAAGUCUGAGACUUGCUCAUUUUAAAUUGUGAGGAAGGUGAGUCCUUCCUCUCCUAAAAGUGGCUGGUGUAUUUAUGUGGGGUGGAGGGAAAAAAAAGAGGUUUUACUCAAGCUGUUUUUCACACAGUUGGGUAGCAUCUGGUUCCCAGACUUCUCCCCUCUUUUCAAGUGGACUGAAGGGAAGAGAAAAUUGCUCCUGCCUUUAGCUCCUGGGAAUAGCAGCUUUGGAAGGGGCAAAGAGCCCUUAUCAUUACCUACAGGUGAAAAAAUUGAGGGAAUCUCUUUCCUUUUCCUCAUCUGUCAAAGAUAUCUGAGAAAUUUCUCAUUUUCACCUCCUUCCCUCAAAAUGAGAGCUCUGGGUAAAAGGGGCAUCACCCUUCUGUGAUGGAGUUAGGUCCCUAGCUGAAGAACAUACACUGCCUCCUUGCAGAAGUGGUGAGAAGGGCCUCCAGAGUGGGUCUUGUCUUUGUACCUGAGUAGACACCAGAAUCAUUCAGGACAAUCUGUUAUGAGCCAGUUUGCAAACUCCAGUUCCCCAAAUUGUGCUUGGAGUUACGUGCACUUGGUGAUUCAGAAAAAAUACAACAGAAAAACAUGCAUCAAGUGGUAUCCUCUAGGUUUGGUUUGUUUUAAAUCUCUGAUUAGGCUACUUCUAAAACUUGUUCUCCAUUUUUCUGAUUGCCCUGAUUCCAAGAGAGAUUGAGCUUCCUUCUCUUCUCCAGUGGGACUGUUGUCCCAGUGAGUUACUGUCUUGGAUGGGCAGAGGGGUAAAUGCAUGAUUUUCUCCAUUUGAAAAAGACCCAAAAACGUUUUUCUGCUCAGCCUCAGCCAUUUGGCUGGGAGGUUUCCACACAUGUGUCAAGCUGGAUUUUCUUCUCUGACUGCUGCAAACUACUCAGAUGAGGUUGAGGGAAAGUACAAGCUUUUGACAGCUCACAGAAGAUUCCAGCUAAUGUAGUUCAUUGGGAAUUUUUCUACACAGCAUUUUUCUGUUGAAAAAUGCCAACUCCUUGUGGUGGAGGCUCAUCUCCAGCAAAUCACUCACUUUAACAGAUAGAGCCUGGAGCAGCCUGAGAUUGGCCAACAUAUGGCACUCUCCCUUGUAGGACUUAAAAAUUCUGGGUCCAUAGUCUCAUAAUUGCCUUGCUGUCAGCAAAAAAUUGUGGAAAUUCAUUGAUUCUUUACGCUCUUCCCAUGACUGACCCAUCCACAAAGUUAUUACCUACUCCUUGCUGAGCUGUGCUGGCUCCUACUGCAGAUGUCUGUCCUUGUGUUUUUUUAAGCUUUGCCCCAGCCUGGGCAAUUAACCAUGUUGGAGUCAUUGGGGUUCCCCAAUGGGAAAGGGAUUCAAAUUGUUACAGAGAUCCAAAGAAACUAGAUUAAAGAGCCAAUAUUAAAAGAGCUUUGAAGGCACAAAAUUACGAUAAGGAAUGCCUGACAGAGGGUCACCAGUAAAACCUCAGCUGUGCAUGAUAGGGGGAGUUUUAGUUACAGGCUCUCUUUCGUGUGGUUUCCUGUCUCGCUCAGUGCACUGGAGAACCUUUGCCCCACUAAAGCAGCAUGGUUAUAUAGUUAAACAUGCUGCUUUCAGUUCAAGUGGUUUAAAAACAAGAAGAAUUUCCAAACUUUGCUUUCCCCUGAAUGCCACAGCUCUAGCUACUAUUUCAGUUGUUUCAUUUUUUGAUGACUAUUAAGUCAUGGCUGUGAGUGAGUGCAGGGCUGUGGGCAAGCAGCUUUGCCCAGCUAUUUGUGGAAGUGAAAGGCAUGUGAUGAAAAUGAAAAAAGAAGUCUACUUCUUUUGUGAAGGCAGUGAUGAAGCUGGUUGAAAGUUGUACAAUAGGCUGGGUUACAUCCCUGCCCAGAGCCUUCAUUUUGUGCUGGCAAGUAGUUCAAACAUGUUAAGAGGCUAAUGAAGCUACUUCUGCUACUGAGUGCACAAAUUAGAUUCUGCAGAAGUAUUGAGUAAGCGCAGGUGAAACUAAUGGGAUCUGUUAUCUAAAUAUAGAAAAUAAUAUAGCCUAUUAAAUGUUAUUUAAAAAAUGCAAGCUGCAACUCCAAUUAGGUGCCAAAAAUGAGAAAAGAUUAAUAUAACGAGUCAGCCUCUUGUCAGUGAACCAGGAAUAAUACCAGCUUUCUGAUGAAAACUGUUCUCCAGCAUCCAUACUCCACAGCUUCCCAAUUCCCUGAUGAUCCAGGAGGGAAGGGAGGGUCAUUAACAUUCUGGAUUCUCAAGAGUUUGAGAGUAAUGUGCAUGAUGUGAACUAGCUUGGAGAAAAAUAGUCUGUGCUGGUGUAAACACAGACAGCAUCAUAAAACUUCAAGGGUCAGAGCUCAGCUUGAAUUAAGACAGAUCUCUCUUAUUUAAUAUUUAGCACUGGGAGGAUGAAAGAAGUAUUGCCCUAGAAAAAUCAGCUUUAAAAUUCUGCUGGAUGCUGGGAUUUCACUUUAGAAAUAAAUAGGGCUGUUCUUUCCUUUGCUCUGCACUUCAAAGAUUUACAUACGUGACAAUGAGUUAUCAGCUGUUUGCUGAGCACAAGUCGGUGUGAUUGAGAAAUAGCCACUGGUUUGUUCCGUGAAGUCGUGGGAAGAAACAAACAAAACAAAUGACACAGGGAAUGGUUGAUGGUUUUUUAAGAGCAUUAUAUGGCUGAUGAGAGCAUUUUUUACCACUAAUGGUAGCAACCAUCUUUUUGGUUGUUAGAAGCAAAUUUUUUUAGUCAGAAUACUGUAAUAAAAAGGAAAAUAAUCAGAUUUUUCAGAACAUGCUUUGGAGGGUUUAUCCCUAGACCAUGCUCACUGUGACCCUCAGUUUGUCACUUGCUUACCAGCACCCAGAGGCAAGUGUCUGCUCAUCUCAUAGAUAUCCUGAGGAAUACUAUUAAUAGUCUCUCUUCUUAUUAAUAUCUUUUUUCUUUAGUAGCACUGAUAUGUACUAGGCACUUUAUGUACAAAUAAGGAAGCAACUUACUUUUCCCAGAAACUGGUCAUUGAUUGGGAUUUGCCUGGAGUAGGGUAAAAUUAUUCUUUCUGGGCUGUAUUCAUUUAUCUGUUACUUGUAACAAUUUAUCUUGCAUGCUUAGCUGUGACAGGUCUUGUUUUACAAAACCCAAAAACAUAGCAGGUGAUCCACAGUAGAGUCUAAGUGUGGCCUACAGCUGGAAUGGUAUUUUCAGGGAGGCAAAAAACCAACCAGACAAACACCAAAAUCCAAAAAAAGGUGAUGUUGGCAGGUCAGUCUCGCUUGGUAGUCUUCCUUGCUAUUCACUGUCCAAAAUCCAGCCAAUCUCAGAAACCCAUCCAAGUGGAUGCUUCUGUAGCCUGCCAAGUUUAAAUGUUAGAAGGAAAUGGGAGAAGCAAAGCUCCCAAAGCUGGUGGAGAACCACUGGGUGGAAGUGAAUCCCAGGGAGCCCAGAGCAGAUGCUGGGUGCUCUGGGAAUCCUGUCCUCACCAGGAAGAGAAGGCUGGUGGCUGUAGCCUGGGGUGCAGACCCCAGGUGGCUGCUCCAGGUUUGCUCCUGAGCAAAUGGCUUGGAAGUUCUUUCACCCUGGAGGUGGUAAAGCAGGGAAGAGUCUUGCAAAGUCUACCUGAGAGAAAAAAUUCACAUCCUCAUUGGUGUUUUAAAUUACGUAAGGCACUGCUCUUCCUGCCGGCUGAGAAGGGAUACUAGCUCUAAUAAAUUCUGCUAAUUGCUGGUACCAUUUUAGGGAAAGACAAUUUAUCUUCCUUAGGUAGGCAGUUUAGGUUCUUACCAAACACAUUCGCUGACACAGCUGCUGGAGAUUCCUAUUUUAGUUGUAUGCUUCCUUGCACAACCUUUUUUUAAACAAUAACAUUUGAAAGGUAUGCAGGAAUAAUAGGUGACGCUUUUUGCUAAAAAAAAAAAAAAGCUUUCUUUUGAUUUGACUAUGAACUUAGAUCCAUGUGAAAAAUGUUGUGUUUUUCUAAAUGCUGUACUUUUUCCCUGUAUAUUCACUUCUACAAAAUACAGUUGUGUGGGGCAGUAAUACCCAAAAUUGUGCAUCUAAAAGUCUAAAUAUUUGUAUAUUUCUAAUGAAACAUCCUGAUUAUUAUAUUUUACCUGUACACAAUUUAGCACAAUAAUGUCUAGUUUAGAAAGAGACUGUGGGUAUACAAGGGUGGUAUUUACUGUGCAUGGCUGCAGUUAACAUGCCAAGUCUUUCUUUUGUCUUUAAUACCUCUUUCAAAUACAGACAACUAAUUAGAUUUCAAUAUAGAGAUUUUUCUGUACUGAUAUGCAUAUUAUAUGCAUACAUAGUAUGUGUGUAGCAUUUCAAAAGAUAUGUACAUAUGCAGACAUACUAAAGACAAAUAGUUAAUGUUACAUUACAUGCAUAUAAUAGAUUCAUAAAUAUAAAAUACUUUCACUGUUCUUUGGUUUCCAUGCAGAUUUACGGUCUAUCAAAUGGAUUAAAGCCUGUGGCUGCUGCAUAGUCAAGUAGGCAGCUGCUCAAUAUUUAUUUUUAUCUUCAUUGCUGAAAAAGUAGGCCCACUGCUCAUUAAAUUAGUCCUGGUUCUUCCAGUAAGCAUUAUCUCCUUCACCAGGAGUACAGGUUAGAGAUAUUUGGAAGUUUUCCAGCAAUGCUUAGGGGUUUUUUGCUUUUUUUUAUUUUUCAGAAAAGAUAUAUUUGCGCCUGAAAUGUUUCAGUCAAAAGAAAAAAAAAUAUUUUACCGACCAUAUGUGACCAUACGUAUUCACACAUCUCACCUCCGCCCUCAGCAUUCACACCUUACUAUUUCCUUGGAUUUCUUUGGGUGUCCUGAGCCUCGGUUUAAUCUGCCUGAUAGAUGGGCUAAUUAUGUUGAAAGCUAAUGAUCCCUGGGCCUUAGGCAGUCUGCCAUUAAGCUGAGAACCCAAACCACAGUCUGCCUGGCAGAUCUUCCCCAGGCAUAGCAGACCUGAAACUGGGCCAUUGUUUGCCAGAAAACUUCCAUCAAAAGCCCACCACCUCCCCUGGAGUUUAAAAUUUUGGAAGAAAUACAAGAAAUUUCACAGAGAACAAACUCCAUGCUUUUCACCAGCUCUAGUCCACUCACAGCAGGAUAAAUCAUCAUGUUAAUCCACUACACCUAUCUAUUAAUAUUUGCCUUUUCCUAUAAUGUUCAUGGAAUGACAGACUCUAUGAGUGCAUACAUAUAUGUGUGUGUAUAUAUAGAUAUACACACACCAAAUUAGACAAAAUAUGUUGUCUGUAAGUAGGUAAGAUUUCUGUUGUGCCCAGAAGGGCAGGGGGGGAAUUCUUCAGAUAGUUCUUAGCUUUGGUAUUUCUUGGCUCCUAAAUGUUUUAGUUUGCGGUCUAUUUAUAAAGUUAGAAAGUUAUUUUAAAGAUGUAUUUUAAUGCAAAGUCUAAGAGAGGCUUAUUUUGAACUAAACUACUUGUGAUUUUUCAGUAGAUGUUCUAAAAAUAGUUUUGUCAUGUAUGUGAUGUAGACUGCAGAGUUUUGCAGUAGUAGGGCUCUUGAGCAGAUUGGGGUUUGUCAGGAAUUAAAAAAUGGAGUAUCAGGUUAUAAAAUAAUCUACAUCCCAUGAUAAUACUCAGGGAGAACUCCAAUUUCUUGUAAACAUUGAAUGCAUUGACUGUCCAUUGUUGUACACAUUUCUCUCUUGAACUUGUGCUGGUUAAUUCCCUGAAGAAAUAAGGGAUCCAGGUAUUUUGGGGAAAACAGGGACAGCAAGGGGAGCAACCUUUGAAUUAAAACGGGAUUUCUGCUUCUGUCCUCUUCUUCAUUUGCAUUUUAGUCAGGAGUUCAGCACUUAAGCAGAGACAGGGACUUUCUUACUCGGGGUAUUACAUAUAGUGCACUUUUAAAAUACUGUAGUAAUUUACUAUUGGGUCCUUGAUCUGAUAGUGGAAAAUUCUUCUUUGCAGCCUUAAGUCUCUUGUGGUUAUGUUUCAUUUCAUGUUUUUUUUUUCUUGUGUGAAAAAGCAAUGUGCUUGUUCCGAAGGUGGGGCAGCUCUCUAGAGUGUAAGCUCUCCAGGGCAGGGAACGUCUCUUACUCUGUGUUUGUACCACGUCGCUGUUGCCUUGAUCUGCUCAGAGGCUCAAGCUUCUGUGCACUGUUGCAAUGCAAAUAAUAAACACUACUGAAAAGUAAA